CCUUCUUUUAUGCCUAAUAAGAGACUCAGCUACUCAGGAGGCUGAGCCUGGAGGAUCCCUUGAGCCCAGGAGUUCUGGGCUGUAGUGUGCUAUACCAGUUGGGUGUUUGCACUAAGUCUGUCAUCAAUAUCAUGAUCUCCUGGGAGUAUGGAGGCACCAGGUUGCCUAAGGAGGGGUGAACGGGCCCUGGUCAGAAAUGGAGCAGGUUAGAAUUUCUGUGAUGAUUAGUAGUGGGAUCGUGCCUGUGAAUAGCCACUGCACUCCAGCCUGGGCAACAGAGUGAUUCCUGUCUGAA
ensembl:misc_RNA Metazoa_SRP Metazoan signal recognition particle RNA